GUAGGGUGCAAGCGUUAAUCGGAAUUACUGGGCGUAAAGCGUGCGCAGGCGGUUUUGUAAGUCUGUCGUGAAAGCCCCGGGCUCAACCUGGGAAUUGCGAUGGAGACUGCAAGGCUUGAAUCUGGCAGAGGGGGGUAGAAUUCCACGUGUAGCAGUGAAAUGCGUAGAGAUGUGGAGGAACACCGAUGGCGAAGGCAGCCCCCUGGGUCAAGAUUGACGCUCAUGCACGAAAGCGUGGGGGGAGCAAACAGGAUUAGAUACCCUGGUAGUCCACGCCCUAAACGAUGUCUACUAGUUGUCGGGUUUUAAUUAACUUGGUAACGCAGCUAACGCGUGAAGUAGACCGCCUGGGGGAUACGGUCGCAAGAUUA
rnacentral:rRNA from 1 species